rnacentral:rRNA from 1 species
UACGAAGGGGGCUAGCGUUGCUCGGAAUCACUGGGCGUAAAGCGCACGUAGGCGGAUCUUUAAGUCAGGGGUGAAAUCCCGGGGCUCAACCUCGGAACUGCCUUUGAUACUGGGGAUCUCGAGUCCGGAAGAGGUUGGUGGAACUCCGAGUGUAGAGGUGAAAUUCGUAGAUAUUCGGAAGAACACCAGUGGCGAAGGCGGCCAACUGGUCCGGUACUGACGCUGAGGUGCGAAAGCGUGGGGAGCAAAC